CGAAAAAACAAAAACAAAAACACAAAGUCUGAAGUAAGUCAAAUGGAAAUGUUUCCAAAGCCGGUGAACAUAUGGGCCCUGGAACAGUGACAGUCACAGCAGUUGGGAUCAUAAUCAGGGGUGGUAUUAAGGACAUAUUCAAAGUGGCCAGUGGAGCACAGCACUGACAGCCCCGAAGGCACAGUGGCCAUAAAUGCACGACGUUGCCAAGGGAGUGCCUGCCCACUGAAGGGCAGCCCUGGCUAGAGGUGGGAUAACCCUGGAUAAGAGUGGGCAGGGAGGGGGAUCUCUGAGGGAGAGAUGAUAGAGAAAGCAAAGAGAUUGUAAAAUAACUCUUAGUGAAAGUGAGAGGAGAAAGGGGAUGUGGGAAAUGUGGAAGAAUGAUAUAAAGUUGGUUUUCUUUCUUUCUUUUUUUUUUUUUUAGACAGAGUCUCGCUGUUGUUGCCCAGGCUGGAGUGCAAACCUCCGCUUCCCGGGUUCCAGCAAUUCUCCUGCCUCAGCCUCCCGAGUAGCUGAGGCAGGAGAAUCGCUGGAAACUGGGAGGUGGAGGUUGUGAGUGAGAUUGCGCCACUGCACUCCAGCCUGGGUGACACAGCAAGACUCUGUCUCAAAAAAAAGAGAAAGAAAGAGAGA
rnacentral:lncRNA from 10 species